ACUGCGCAUUCGCUGAAGCGCUUUCAGUUGUAACUUUUUCUUUACCUUAUGGUGGUUCGAGAUACGUGUAAAUAGCCCGUGCCGUCUCCUUGAAGUAAUUUUUAGGCCAAUACUGCGAUUCGACACCGCUGCAGAUUUCUGAAGACCGCAAGGUUCCCCUGACAUCGCAUCACAGCCCGGCCUCUCAUACUACUGUCUGGUCAGCGGUUGACGUGUUGCAUGCUGUCCAUCUUCAAGGAAGACAAGCCGGCUCAAUUGGAAAUUUGCUAACCGAUCUCCAAAUUCCUGUCAUGGCCCAUCCGAAAGGAACGUCUUUCAGAUGCACCGUCUGCAAUUCGUAUUUCAGUCAAGAGGGGAGUCUUUUAAGCCACCUCGAAACGCACAUU